UACGGGGGGGGGCAAGCGUUGUUCGGAAUUACUGGGCGUAAAGGGCUCGUAGGCGGCCAACUAAGUCGGAUGUGAAAUCCCCCAGGCUUAACCUGGGAACUGCAUCCGAUACUGGAUGGCUUGAAUCCGGGAGAGGGAUGCAGAAUUCCAGGUGUAGCGGUGAAAUGCGUAGAUAUCUGGAGGAAUACCGGUGGCGAAGGCGGCAUCCUGGACCAUUACUGACGCUGAGGCGCGAAAGCUAGGGGAGCGAACGGG
rnacentral:rRNA from 1 species